AACAGAGUAGGUUCCUGCGCGUUAAGUGCUUUCUGAACGGGGAGUUGUCAGAAGGACGAAAAGGUUUCUUGCGGUGCAGGUUCCGCAUCCCGCUGAC
rfam:Holdemania filiformis DSM 12042 genomic scaffold Scfld7, whole genome shotgun sequence.